CUUAGGACAGCUUUGAUACCGGGAACUGUAUGUUCUUCUAACCAAACCCAACUGAUGAAUUCACUAAACACAUUUUCUGGUUCAGCUCUUCUGAGCCAGUGCCAGAGAUUACGUAGCUACAGGUGAGAACACUCGAGUUCAUGGCUGCCAUUAAAGGACCAUGUUGUUUCUCGGGUCUUGAUUGGUUGGGUGUUGAACCUUUUUUCAAGGAAGAAAAAUUUGAGGCCUUUUCCUUCUUUUUUUUUAAUCUUCUCCUGCAACGUAAAGAUAAACAAUCAAACUUUUGCAAAAUCAUCUGUACACAAACUGUUUUUUUGCCUCUAUCCUAGGUGUGAUUUACACGUGUGAAUGGUUUCUUCUUCCACCAACGUGUGCGCGCGCACAUACUUCAUCUAUUCCUCUACCAUGUUACAACUAUGAGAAAAGAAAUACAUUGCUGGUUCGCCAAGCAUCUAAGCUACUGCUUAUGACAGAGAAAACAAAAGAUAGACAUUGUUGGUUUCUUGAUCCAACCAUGUUUAAAAAAAAUAAGAGAAGACAAAAUUUACCAACAAUGGAUCAUGCGGAAAGUUGAAUUCAACAGACAUAAAAAAAAGGAUUACCUCUUCGGUUAAGCUUGGAUGGAAUUGUUUUGUUAGGUUUUGGAUGGUCUGUGGACCACCUUUGGAGCAAGGGAAACCAAAGUCCUAACCAAGUUGAAUAUUUUAGAAUAUUACCUAUUUGUAUGUGUUUUGAGUGGCUAAAUAUAGCACUUAACUAUAAGUUUAAACCAAAAAAAUAAUCAUAAGAUGAUCAAUAGAGACUUUCCCUUAAACAAACAAUGUAAGAGCAUAUGAAAACAUACCGUAAGGAGACGUGGAGACACUGUUCUGCAGUCCACUUCCAGGACUAAGAAAAUCAGCUCAUCCAUGCACUGGACGUCCCUAACCCGCAAAGACCAGUAUCUUACUUUGAACCACAAAGCUUUUCCUGCGUAAGUGCAAACGGUAAAGAUCACUCUCAAACUAUGCAACAACUGAGUUUAUUAUGCAAUAAAAAUUUAUUCAAGAUUCCGAAAGAGAAUGCAAGUGAACAUAUAUACCUAUUGCGAACCGUUGUGCUAAGAAGAAACUUAAGAAAUCUUGCUGAAACGAAAGCUCCCAUAGCCAAAGGAGUAUCCAUUGUGCUCUGAAAUAAUAGAGAGGAUAUCACUUACAACUACUUUGAGCAUGACAUUUAGAUUUACGAUAGCAUAGAAAUUAAAAAAGAAAUGCACUUUGACUUGGAAAAUACAUGUGGCAGCAUAGCAUGCAUCACCCAUUUCACUAAUUGGGAAACAAUAGCAUCCACACCCCAUCUUUCGAAACAACUUCACCGUCCAAAAUCCCAAAGCUUCUUUUGUAAUGGCUAUUCCUGCAAACAAUCAUUAUGUGACAAUUAUUUUAAAAGAGUAUUGUUACCUGAAUGGGAAAUCGAGUGGCAAUUACUAUCAUUAUGCUCAAUGAUAAAUUGCUUGCAAUAUACAUCCAUUUGGUAAAAAUGUUCUCUUUACAAAUAUCAAAAGAGCGCCUGCAAGAACUGAAAAGAGGGAAGAACUAUUUAAAAAAAAACAAAUGAAAGCAGGGGACUAAGACUUAUUAGAGGGCAAUCACACAGACUAAGUUUUUCUCAGACUUAUUGGUGCUCUAGGCUCCAAUUGUUGUCGCUGAGGUCCUUGGUUCUUCCGCCGCGGUUCUCUGGCUCUCAGACGGAGGUUGAGCCGGCGACGGCAAGUUUUUCUGCGGUAAGCCUCCAUCGCCAUAAAGAUUUCGUGUAACGUAGUAAACAGAGAAGAGGAAGAGAAAGGGGAUCGAAGAUCCAUUUAGCCGAUCAUCUCCAUCUCCGACAUACUUGAGGUUGAUUGCAUGUUCUUCAACCUUCAAUCACCACCGAUCUCGAGAUCUUCUUCUCCAAUUAUUAGGAUUGAGCACCGUGAAAAACUUUGAGAGCCAAACUUCGAAUCUUGUCGGAACACUGACCCUUAUGGUAGCUCCGAAUUUUCUGGAUUCUGACUUGAACUCGAAAGCAUGAUCCAAAACUCAAGACUUGAUCUUCGUGGAGACUUCACACAAACACGAGCCAAAGCUUUAUACCACCUUCGAGUCGAGGACUAAGCUUAUCUAACAAAGAGGAAAACAAAACCAUCUCGACCAAACAGAAUAAGGUUAUACGCAGAAGGAGAAGAACUAGGACAUAACUAUAUUUAUACUCAAAUCAUAUCAGAAGAGGAUAAGACUGAUAAUUGAUUCCGAUUUGAUUGAAUUUUACACUUCAAAAAACUCGCCAACAUGAAAGUAUAAAAUCGAUCAAAGAUCAACCGUAGUUAUUUUACAUCAAAAGAUAAGAAAACAUGAUGGUAACCGGCGGCAACCACCGAUCACCAGAAAUGGUUUUCUGAUUUCGAAACUUCUAGAAAGAAUAUGGAGCGUCUAGAAAGAGAGAGGGUUGGAAUAUCUUCUUUUGGUACAUGAGAUUAUUUAUUAUUUGAAAUAAAUUUAGUUGGGAGUUUUCAGCUUUAAAAUUAAAAUAAUUAGUUGGAACAUUGAAGUCAUAAACAUCACAUAACUGAUGUGGGAGUAAUGAGGAAAAAAAAGAAUAAAACAAAAAAGAGAAAGAAAUAUAAAAAUAUGAAAAGAAAAAUAAAAUAAAAAUAAUUAAAAAUAGUUAAGAAAAAAGAAAAUCUUUCAACCUUAAAAUGGCUGAUCGUGUCGAGACGGCAGCAGCACACUUGUCGUCCUUCCCAGAAGCUUCUCCGGUGUUUUCGCAGUCGCAAAUCUAAACCGUUAACUAGGUAGGUAUAAUAUAUUUAACCUGUAUUAUCCGUUUCUUAUAUAUAUCUGUGGAUCUGUCUUUGUCGGAUUAUCCACUUCGCCAUGUCUUCUCUUCACUUAAUAUCUGUUCCGUUGUUGUUGUGUGUUUUUAAAUUAGAUGAAAGUAGUAAAGAACUAAACUUUGGUAGUUAGACCAGUGUCUUAUUGAUCCGAUUCUUAUUGCUAACAGGUUUUUGUUGGUUUUCGACUCGACCGAUUAUUUAACAGAAAGUGAUUUGCUUUUUCUUCUAGAAUCUGUAUAAUUGUGUUGUGACAAGUAAUUUGUUCAAGUUAAUCUGUAUAGUUGUGCUGAUAAGAGAAAGCACUGUAUCUGGUAUGAAUUCAUUUCUCUUCAAAAAGUCUCUCUUUUUUUUAAUGACAAAACAUUAUCUGAAGAUCUUCCAUCAUUGAUUGACUUUGCUUUGCUCUUACAUCUGUACACACACACAUUUAUGUAGUUUUGUUGCUUUUGGUUCUCUUUACUUACUCUUUAUAUAUUGAUACACACAUUUCUCGAUUUGUGCGUGUCAUCUCACUUCUUGGAACUUCUUUCUUUCAUCGAUUCUUAGCAUUGUGUAUUCCACUCUAAUUUCUUUUACCUCUGAAAAGGAAGAUAGAAGAAUCAUUGAAGAAGAACUAGUGAACACAAGGAAUAUGGGAACUCACAUCAAUUUCAACAGCUUAGGAGGUGGUGGAAGUUACCAGAUGAAGCCAACAGAUAGUCCCAAUCCCCUGGCGAGACAGUCCUCUGUUUACUCCCUAACCUUUGAUGAGCUUCAGAGCACAUUCGGUGGACCGGGGAAAGAUUUAGGGUCUAUGAACAUGGAUGAGCUCCUGAAAAGCAUAUGGACUGCUGAAGAAGCUCAGGCCAUGACUUCUUCAGCUGCUACAGCGGUUGCGCAACAUGGUGGUGGGAAUCUCCAGAGGCAAGGCUCGUUGACAUUGCCUAGAACGAUUAGUCAGAAGACUGUUGAUGAGGUCUGGAAAUUUCUGAUCACCAAGGAUGGUGAAAUGGGAGGUAGCAGCAAUGGUGAGUCUAAUGCACAACAGACUUUAGGGGAGAUGAAGAUUGAGGACUUUCUGUUUCGCGCUGGAGUUGUAAGAGAAGAUAACAACGAGUUUUAUGGUAACAACGGUUCUGCUGAAGGGCUAGGCUUUGGAUUUGGUCAGCUAAAUCAAAACAACAUAUCAUUCAAUGGCACUAAUGAUUCCAUGAUCUUGAAUCAGCCACCUGGUUCAUGCCUCAAAGUGGGUGGUACAACUCAGCACCAGCGGAUGCCUCAAACCAUUUUUCCUAAACAAACAAACGUAGAAUUUGCUGCGUCUGUGUGUAUGGUCAACAAGGGCUUCACUGGGGCUGUGAACAAUGAUAAUGGAUUAGCUAGUUUCAGAGGAGAAGGGGUUAAAAUUGCAGCGACAUCACCAGGGACAAGCAGCGCGGAGAAUAACUCUCUGUCACCAGUUCCUUAUGUGCUUAACCGAGGAAGAAGAAGCAAUACGGGUGUAGAGAAGGUUAUCGAGAGGAGGCAAAGGAGGAAGAUCAAGAACAGGGAAUCAGCUGCUAGAUCUAGAGCUCGGAAGCAAGUGAGUAUUAAUUUAACCAAACUGUGGUAUAUCCAACUCUUUUUGCUUGGUUUGAUUAUUAUGUUGGUCUUGAAUCUUUUGCACUCAUUAUCCAUUAAUUGCAGGCUUAUACCUUGGAACUGGAAGCCGAAAUUGAAAAGCUCAAGAAAGUGAAUCAAGAAUUGCAGAGAAAACAGGUAUGUUUCUUUUUUUUAAUAGAAAAUAGCUGCUUGGUUAUGACAUUGAGCUUCCCCUAUGUUGCAGGCUGAAAUGAUGGAGAUGCAGAAGAAUGAGGUAACUGUCAUUGACUUUAUUAGUUUUUUUUUAUCAGUUCAUCUACAAACCAUGGACUCUGCAGCAUCAUAAAAGACCUUAUUUUAAACCCAUAAAUGGUCUAAUAGUUACUGACACCCAACCAUUUUUGUUUCUGAUUGUACAUCUAGUUAACGAUGAUCACAAAAAUGAUCUUAGUUCUGCUGUUCACGACUAGUGCUUUUGAAUUGGCAGGUGAAUGAACCGAGGGGCAGCAAGAGGCAGUGCCUGAGAAGGACACUAACCGGUCCUUGGUAAAAUCAGAAUGUAACAACAUGUACCGAGCAUACCAGACACCGGUUUGCAUGGGAAUAAUGUAAUAGGAGAUAGUGGUGCUACCUGUACAGGAGAUUAAGAGAAACUAGGAUUUGACCCGCCCUACGGGCGGGUUAGUAACUAAAAAAAGUACAUAAUGUAUCAUAUUUUUUAAAAAUAUUUUAAAAUGUAUAGUUUAUUUAAAUUGUAAGUUAUCUUUAAAUUGUAAUACCAAAAAUUACAAUUAUACGUAUUUCAAAUUUUUAAUAUUGCAAUUAUACAUUUGUAUCUAUUAUCUAUUUUGAUAAUUUAUUUUUCUGCAUUUCGUGUGGAACAUUUGUUAAUUUUAUAAUAUUUUUUAGUUAUAAUUUAACACUUAUCUUGAUCUAACAAAACAAUAUUUUAGGUAUUUCAAUUCAUAUCGUUUUCGUUUGUUUAAAGGGGAGAGUUGUUAUUGGAUAAGUGUUAAUGUCCUUCAAAAACUUAUCCCUAAAUUUUGGAGGCUUUGAAAGUUGUAAACUUUUUAUAAAGAAUUUAAUAGUUUGGGAGUUUGAAUAAUUUUUUUUUUACAAAUUUGGGGGUUUAUAUCGAUAAUAUUUUUUUGAUAAUUUGGAUUUGUAUUGUGUCGUCAAUAUUGUUAAUUUUUUUACAAAAGCAAAUUUCAAGCAACUCUUGUAUAUCGAGACAGAGAUAUCUAUUAUUUGAAAACAAACAUAUAAUUAGAGUGUUAAGGAAAAAUAAACAUAUAAUCAAAGUGGAUCUCUAACAAAGUUUGCUCUCCACUUGUUGCUAAAGUUUUCUUAUCAUUCAGUUCCUAUCAUCAUAAAUAGAUUACUUUGCAUUAUAAAAAGGUUUUUUAAGAGAUGUCAACAUGAUUCAUAACGUUUCAAGACUUUACUUUUGUUGGCUUUGAUCUUUCGUAGAAAUCAUCAAUGACGCCAGCAUUAGCGGAAGCAGAUCCAUAAGUAGAGGAGAAAAGUGUAGCAGCUAAGAUAACCAUGGCGGAUCUUCUUCCAUUAUCACAUCACCACCAACUCUUAGGACAGCUUUGAUACCGGGAACUGUAUGUUCUUCUAACCAAACCCAACUGAUGAAUUCACUAAACACAUUUUCUGGUUCAGCUCUUCUGAGCCAGUGCCAGAGAUUACGUAGCUACAGGUGAGAACACUCGAGUUCAUGGCUGCCAUUAAAGGACCAUGUUGUUUCUCGGGUCUUGAUUGGUUGGGUGUUGAACCUUUUUUCAAGGAAGAAAAAUUUGAGGCCUUUUCCUUCUUUUUUUUUAA
rnacentral:lncRNA from 1 species